rnacentral:rRNA from 1 species
AGGGUGUAAACGCUGCAGACUUGGUGUUGGAAGCCCUUUGGGGGCAUUCAGUGCCGGAGAGAAGUUGUUAAGUCUGCUACUUGGGGAGUACGUCCGCAAGGAUGAAACUUAAAGGAAUUGGCGGGGGAGCGCCGCAACGGGAGGAGCGUGCGGUUUAAUUGGAUUCAACACCGUAAAACUCACCAGGGAAGACUGUUACAUGAAGGCCGAGAUGAAGACUCUGCUAGAUUUUUCAGAGAGGAGGUGCAUGGCGUCAGUGACU